rnacentral:rRNA from 1 species
UACGUAGGAGACGAGCGUUGUCCGGAGUUACUGGGCGUAAAGGGUGCGCAGGUGGCGGCGCGCGUGGGGGGUGAAAUCGCCCGGCUUAACUGGGCGGGGGCCUUCCAGACGGCGUGGCUUGAGCAGCGGAGGGGGACGUGGAAUUCCGGGUGGAGCGGUGAAAUGCGUAGAUAUCGUGAGGAAGACCAGUGGCGAAGGCGGGGUCUCUGGACAGUUCCUGA